rnacentral:rRNA from 1 species
UACGUAGGGUGCAAGCGUUAAUCGGAAUUACUGGGCGUAAAGCGUGCGCAGGCGGUUGUGUAAGUCAGAGGUGAAAUCCCCGGGCUCAACCUGGGAACUGCCUUUGAGACUGUGCAACUAGAGGAUGGCAGAGGGGGGUAGAAUUCCACGUGUAGCAGUGAAAUGCGUAGAGAUGUGGAGGAAUACCGAUGGCGAAGGCAGCCCCCUGGGCCAAUACUGACGCUCAUGCACGAAAGCGUGGGGAGCAAACAGG